rnacentral:siRNA from 1 species
ACACCAAUCAUGUCGUUGUAGUA